GGCAAGGAAGGGCGGUAGGAAAGCCUGCCAAGGAAAGGGAGGACCGGCCUGCAUAUUCUUAAGCGCUGUGGGACACUGUUCUGUAGACGUUGCCCAUCCCAUUGCUCUCUCAGGGAGGGAUGAGCCACGGCCAGGAGCAGCUCCUGGUCAUCUACUGUACCACGUGUGCAGAGGGAAGACACACUCCCAGAGAAGAAAAUGCUGGGAAAAAGAGACCACAGCCUUUGUAUGGUGGCUCAAUGAGUAUCCACCUUGACCCUUAUGAUGGAUGAGGAAAAGUAUCACAUCUUCCCGCCGCUACAGUGUCCCGUCUGAACUGUCUUGUCUGGCCCUGUUUCCACCCAGGAAGCCGCAGAUCCUGACUCCUUGUGUUUGUUUCUCUGCCCAGAUGAGAAACACCCAUCACCUCUGACUUUCCAAGGAGCAAAUCACGCUCCGUGCCGGGCUCCCCCAACAACACCACUCCCUCUUCCCUUGCGAUCUCCAGGUCCUCCUUUGACACUUCACUUCUCCUGAGAAUCAUACUGCUUCUGUUUCUACUCUGCAUGCCAGAAGUUAUUGCUUUCAUCUAUUCAAUAAAGAUUUAUUUUAAG
rnacentral:lncRNA from 10 species